CAGAUAAUAGUUUAUUUAAAAAUUUAGGUUUUGGGUAUCUACGAAUAAGCAAAGAGCUUAUUAUCUGA
rnacentral:tRNA from 1 species